rnacentral:lncRNA from 13 species
GUCUAUCGUCUAUAAUUCCCUUCCUGGGCAUUUAAUCGACAGCAGUGAAAAGCAAUGUCCGCAUCAAGCAUCGUGCAAAAAUAUUCAUGACGGUUUUAUUCAUAAGAGCUCAAGACUGGAAACAUGCUAGGUGUCCCUCAACAGAUGAAUGGACAAAUCCUAGCGAAUUCCUGUAAUGGAGCAUCUCACGUCAGUAAGAAGAAAUGAAAGACUGAUGCCCCCCCAGGAAUGAAUCUCACAGACAUGAUGCCGGAUGACAGAGCCCAGACACGAGACAGGCUGUGCUCUGAUUCCACUUAUAUGAAGCUCUACAUAUGCAAACCAACCUAUCGUGAUAGAAAUCAGAGCAGUGAUUUGCUUCCAAGUGGGAAGUGGAGGAAUGGGAGCAGAUUCCCGGGAACUUUUGUAUCUCGGAGUCCAGCCUCCUCAGCUCUUUGCAGAUACCUUGAGAAGCUGCACUCACUGCUCUCUUGGCUCCAUCCGUGAUGAGCUGGGGGAGAGAUGUGGGCAGCAGUACAAUCUACUACAGGCCUGUAAUUCCAGGGACUUUAAAAUUCCAGAGGCAGCGUAACAGAGCCUGCUAUCAAUUCCCAUCAGUCAUUUUCUCCUUUUAUUCCUGAUUGUAGCUGGGCACACUGCCAACCUGCUAGUGAUUACGUCCUCCAGCUUCUCCUACAGCAAGAUGAGGCCAUGUGACUAAGAGACGGCAUAUGUGGCUUUCUGGAAGAGGGAGAGAGCCACUCUUUUUCCUCCUUCCUCCUCCUUGCUGCUUGGAACACAUAUGUAAUGGCUGAGGCUCCAGCAGCCCUCUUGGGCCACAGGUUUGAAAGGCACCUGUAGUGAAGGCAGAGGGAAUUCUGGAAGGAGCUUUGCAGAGCUGCUGCGACAGUCCCGGCCUGCCCGCCUCUGGAGUUCUGUGGUUACUGUUGUUUUAACAAAAUAAAAUGCAACCCUGUGUUUCAGCCACUGCAAACUGGGGUUUUUGGUUCCCUUCGGUCACACUCAGCCCCAGGUGAUACAGAUCACAGGCUGUGGAAGUUCAUGGUACAAAUUCAGAAACCAAAUAGCUGGGCUCACAGCCCAGUUUUGCCGCCUGCCAACUGGGCGAGUCUGGGAUCCCCACGUGACUUCCUUAUUUCUGUUUCCUCGCGAGGAAAACGGAGGUAAGAAUGCCCUCCUCAUAGGGUUGCUGCAAGCCUUGGGGGAGCUGACAGAAGAAACGCAGUGCACCCUGGAGACAGUGAGCAUCCAGUUCUGUGCACAGUCCUGGGGUAGCAGGGGCUCAGGAAGUGCGGACUUUCGCUGUCUGUGUGUGGAGGCAGGUGAUGUGUGUGCGCAGAAAACACAGCAAUCAGCUCUUUACGUCGCUUCCCAGAGGGCGCUGCCAUUGUGUCUGCUCUGUCAGCCAAUGCGUCACAGUGGAGAAUCCCAGCCCGUCCAUCUGCCCUGUGAUCAGACUGAGAUAAGAGAGAGGGAGCCGCAGGGGCUGCUGGAAGUUGAGAGGCGCUUCCUGGCAGCCAAGCACAGCCUCUGGCAGAUGUUGCGGCAAUGUCCCUGCCUCUUUCUAAUGGAGCAUCUGCCUGGUAAGCUUAGAACAUGCAGCCUGGUCUCUGCAGAUGUGCUGAGGAGACUGAGGGACCUGGGCGUGACGUUACUUCCACGGCACAGUGAACCCGCGAGACGGAGGGACAUGGGCAGCUAAUUCUGGCGAGCUUCCUCCUCAGCCGUCAGGCUAAAAACGCACACAUUUGGGUAAGACACAGGCCUUAGUCACAGAAGAAAGUGGAUGUGUGAAGAGAUGCCUCCUACACUUGGCAAACUUGCUGAGAAUUCACACUCUCUGAAUCAAAGUCACUGACAUUUUUUGGAAGAUCCAAAUUUAAUCAAGGCGUUUUCAAGAGAUUCAAACUGAAUCAGAAAGACACGAGGCCCCAUGAGCGGCACCGAUCUCGAUGAGUAGCUGGAAUCCCUGUGGCUAGGCAGCAUCGUUUUCACUGAAGGUGACAGAAGACCCAAUUUCGUAGGGUUUGGGAG